rnacentral:rRNA from 1 species
AGUGAACGCUGGCGGUAGGCCUAACACAUGCAAGUCGAACGGCAGCACAGUAAGAGCUUGCUCUUACGGGUGGCGAGUGGCGGACGGGUGAGGAAUACAUCGGAAUCUACUUUUUCGUGGGGGAUAACGUAGGGAAACUUACGCUAAUACCGCAUACGACCUACGGGUGAAAGCAGGGGAUCUUCGGACCCUGCGCGAUUGAAUGAGCCGAUGUCGGAUUAGCUAGUUGGCGGGGUAAAGGCCCACCAAGGCGACGAUCCGUAGCUGGUCUGAGAGGAUGAUCAGCCACACUGGAACUGAGACACGGUCCAGACUCCUACGGGAGGCAGCAGUGGGGAAUAUUGGACAAUGGGCGCAAGCCUGAUCCAGCCAUACCGCGUGGGUGAAGAAGGCCUUCGGGUUGUAAAGCCCUUUUGUUGGGAAAGAAAAGCAGCAGGUUAAUACCCCGCUGUUCUGACUGUACCCAAAGAAUAAGCACCGGCUAACUUCGUG